AAAAAACAGAGAGAACCCAUAAUCUGUGAAACGUAGAAAGAGAGAAGUUAAUAUGAGGAUCGUUCACCAUCAGACAAAAAGAGGCAGAAAAAACGAAAUUGAGAGAGUAAUCUUCGGAGUGUCAGACACUCAGACUAUCAUCCACCGGCAAGCCAGUCGCUCACCAACAUCAGGUCGCCUAAACCGCUACCGAUUCUUACAGAAUUAGUCAAAGCUAAGAUCAAAAGAGAGCAAUCCAAAAAUCCUAACGCAAUCUCUGAACCAACGCCUCUUCAAUCUCAAUACCGUCCAAGCCUCUCUUCCCCGCAGUCCGUUGAAGGCGAGAGUGACAGCGGCACUGCUGAUUUUCUCUAAUUUGUAUUUGCUCGCCUUAUAUUAAGAAAAAUAACUAAUACUAAGAGUGAAAGUCAGUAGGUAAAGAGAGAUCAAGCGAAGCAAGUCUGUAAGGCAGAGAGCAUUUGUUCCUCCACCGUCAGACUACUGUUGGUAGAAGAAGUGAUAGUGAUACCCAAAAUUGGCCAUGAAAAGGAUUAUACAAGUCAAAGAUUCAAUAGUUUUGCAGAGGUUACCCCAAACCAAUGCAGUUCAAUUAGGAGCAUCGUGAGGUAAUUCUUGAUAAGUUUAUAUGGUGUACACAAUGCCUCAAUCCAUGUAAAACCUAAUGAUGUGGAGGUUGUUAAUGUUUGUUAGCUUAUAACUAAGUGGCACAAGACUUUCCACUAUAUGUGAUUUAGUCGGUUAUCAUCAUUAUGAUAUCUAUCCCUCUAAUGCUGUAGUGUACGAUAUUUACAUACAAGAGUUAUUUGAUAAUUGAUAUUCGAUA